UACGUAGGGACCGAGCGUUGUCCGGAAUCAUUGGGCGUAAAGAGCGUGUAGGCGGCCACUUAAGUCCUGCGUGAAAUCCUGCGGCUCAACCGCAGACGGUCGUGGGAAACUGGAUGGCUAGAGUGCGGGAGAGGAGAGUGGAAUUCCCGGUGUAGCGGUGAAAUGCGCAGAUAUCGGGAAGAACACCCGUGGCGAAGGCGGCUCUCUGGAACGCAACUGACGCUGAGACGCGAAAGCGUGGGGAGCAAACAGG
rnacentral:rRNA from 1 species